AAAAGAUGGAAGAGGCACACACCCAGGCAGCAAGGAAGGAUGACACACAGCUGGGUCUUGGGGAAGCAGCCAAGCUUCUGGCAGAGUUUGGAGUGUUUGCCCUCCUCCUCCUGCUUUGACAACUUUGCGGCUACCUACAGCUGAGCGCCCUGCUCUCAUAACCAUCAAUCCUCAGUUUUACUCCCGCCGGCUUCUCUUCUCUUCUGCCCAACCAGGCGCUGACUCCUAGCUGGCUUCCCCAACUUGUGCUGUCCUCACUUGGUGUGCCUGGCUUCCUCACUUAUGUCAACAAGUCCCAGCGUGUGGGACACGAGUCGGAGCAAACUUUCAAUAAAUAUACUUAAUGCACCGCACUGAAUUUCAAGCGAAAAGCAGAAAAAGUGCUACUAAAAAGUUGAAAGAUGCCUGUCUCAAAACGGAAUGAAGCAGCCUAACGCAGCCACAGCCAGUAAAUUACUUGAAGAAAGAAGACUCCAAAUCCAGUGUUUCUCAUCACCAUGUGAAAGCAGAGUAAAGGCAAAAGGCCAGCAAAGGCAACUGAAGAUAAUCAGACAUUCCUGAGAAGAAAUCCAGCUCUGCCUUCGUUAACCACCUCUCUUUUCUGGGAUGCUGCUACAGCAUGGGUGGAUGAGCAGUGCUAGGUCCACGUCCAGGAUCUGAACCCAUGGACUCCAGGCCGCUGAAGUGGAGGGCAUGAACUUAACCACUAUGCCAUUGGGCCAGCACCAACUUCCAACUUUUUAAGAGCAAGUUAACUGAUUUGCAGAAUAAAGAUGGAUCAAGUUAAAAACAUACAUUUACACACAUAACACUGUGUGUGUGUGUGUGCCCAUGUAAAUUAGGAGAAUAUACAUGAUAUUUUAAAAAAUAUCAUGACAAUUAUUGCCUCUGGGAUCAAACACACAGCGCUCUGACCUCAACUCCAACUCCACCAGGGGCAUCUCUGUCUCCUUGGCCUCCCCCAGCACCUUCCCAUCCUUCAAUCUUACUAUCGCCGCCCAUCACCCUAUUACCCAAUCCUGGUCAAGAUUUGGUCUCAUUUCCCUCUUCUCUAAUAGCUGCUGCCUAACCUCCCCACUUAUGCAGUUCAGCCAGGGAGAUGAUUUGGGUCAUGUCCCUCCCGUCCCCUACAACAGUUAACUUGCACCCACAUGAUGCAAAGCUUUUACAGAUUAUUGGGGAUUAUUUGUGACCUUCCGACACUUUGCCCACUCCAAGUCCCCCCACCCCUGCCAAACACCACAUACCACCACUAUCAACACUUUUCUCUGAGUUAAUUUAUAUUUCACUCUUUGACUUUUCCACACCUUGCCUUCCAAGUGGCCCGUGAGCUUAUGUCUCUACACCUUUAUGACAAGGAAAUAAUUUCCUCUUGAAGAUGCAUCCUAUUUGAUAUCUUGAUAACUCUGAAAAAUUGCUUUCUUCUGCUUGGCCAAACUCUUCUUUUGGAUAAUAUUAGUCUGAGUUUUCUCUUCCCUUUAAUGAUCCUUUAAAAAAACAACCUUUAUCUAAUCCCUUUUCCAUGAAGUCAGGUCUUCAGAUAAGAUCUAU
ensembl:lncRNA